rnacentral:rRNA from 1 species
UACGUAGGGGGCAAGCGUUGUCCGGAAUCAUUGGGCGUAAAGCGCGUGUAGGCGGCCCGGUAAGUCCGCUGUGAAAGUCGGGGGCUCAACCCUCGGAUGCCGGUGGAUACUGUCGGGCUGGAGUGCGGAAGAGGCGAGUGGAAUUCCUGGUGUAGCGGUGAAAUGCGCAGAUAUCAGGAGGAACACCAAUUGCGAAGGCAGCUCGCUGGGACGUUACUGACGCUGAGACGCGAAAGCGUGGGGAGCAAACAGG